rnacentral:rRNA from 1 species
CCUACGGGAUGCAGCAGUCGAGAAUCAUUCACAAUGGGGGAAACCCUGAUGGUGCGACGCCGCGUGGGGGAAUGAAGGUCUUCGGAUUGUAAACUCCUGUCAUGUGGGAGCAAAUUAAAAAGAUAGUACCACAAGAGGAAGAGACGGCUAAUUCUGUGCCAGCAGCCGCGGCAAUACAUAGGUCGCAAGCGGUGUUCGGAUUCACUGGGCGUAAAGCGUGCGUAGGCGGGUUCGUAAGUCGUGUGUGAAAGGCGCGGGCUCAACCCGCAGACGGCAGAUGAUACUGCGAGACUAGAGUAAAGGAGGGGGAACCGGAAUUCGCGGUGUAGCAGUGAAAUGCGUAGAUAUCGGGAGGAACACUCGUGGCGAAGGCGGGUUCCUGGGCAUUAACUGACGCUGAGGCACGAAGGCCAGGGGAGCGAAAGGGAUUAGAUACCCGAGUAGUC